rnacentral:rRNA from 1 species
UACGGGGGGAGCAAGCGUUGUUCGGAUUUCCUGGGCGUAAAGGGCGCGUAGGCGGCCACCGCAAGUCGACUGUGAAAUCUCCGGGCUUAACCCGGAAAGGUCAGCCGAUACUGCGGGGCUAGAGUGCAGAAGGGGCAACUGGAAUUCUCGGUGUAGCGGUGAAAUGCGUAGAUAUCGAGAGGAACACCUGCGGCGAAGGCGGGUCGCUGGGCUGACACUGACGCUGAUGUGCGAAAGCCAGGGGAGCGAACGGG